UGAGGGCCUCCGGGAGAUCGGCCUACCUGUGUACGUGCCCGAAGCCCAGAAUAAAAGGCAGCAGCACAUCUGAAAGCAAAGUUGGUCACCUUGACAACAGACCUCAUCAUCCCCCCAGCCUGUCUGGUUUGAUUUCAGCUUUAUGCUUUUCUACAACUGGAUGCCACCCUUGACCCCAUGACUUUCCUGCUACAAGAGGUGAUGAGCCAAAAGAUCCAGUUUUCUGCAGAAACUCAAAGCUUUCAGGUUAAUAUCCUCUAG